rfam:Triticum aestivum genome assembly, contig: Triticum_aestivum_CS42_TGACv1_scaffold_499694_6BL
GGUGGCGAAUGAUGUGAACUAUUUUGCUAGACACUGAAUCUUUGACAUGUUUACAAAAUUCCGUUUAUUAUUUGAUGCCAUU